rnacentral:rRNA from 1 species
CACAAGCGGUGGAUGAUGUGGUUAAUUCGAUGCAACGCGAAAACUUACCACCUUUGACAUGUACGGAAUCCUUUAGAGAUAGAGGAGUGCUCGAAAGAGAGCCGUAACACAGGUGCUGCAUGGCUGUCGUCAGCUCGUGUCGUGAGAUGUUGGGUUAAGUCCCGCAACGAGCGCAACCCUUGUCAUUAGUUGCUACAUUCAGUUGGGCACUCUAAUGAGACUGCCGGUGACAAACCGGAGGAAGGUGGGGAUGACGUCAAGUCCUCAUGGCCCUUAUAGGUGGGGCUACACACGUCAUACAAUGGAUGGUACAAAGGGUCGCCAACCCGCGAGGGGGAGCCAAUCCCAUAAAGCCAUUCGUAGUCCGGAUCGCAGUCUGCAACUCGACUGCGUGAAGUCGGAAUCGCUAGUAAUCGUGGAUCAGAAUGUCACGGUGAAUACGUUCCCGGGUCUU